UUCCUAUGUCUAUUAAAGGAAGCUCCAAUUUUCCCCCCUCUCUCUCCUCUCUCUCUCUUUCCUCUCUUCCUAACCAGACAGCGGGAGGGUUUCUGGCUCCUCGCCAGCCCAAAAGCCUCUAAGUGUUUUGCACUUGUUUCAGGGAGCCCGGGGAUUUUUUUCAGCAUUUUCACUAGAGAACAAAGAGUUCUUUACAAAGGAAGGGGGAGAGCGAGCUUAACGCCUGAGAUAUGUUUUUCUAUUUUUAUUAGGGAUUUUUUUUGCCCCCCUCCUAAAAAGAAAGAGAGAGAAGCAAAGCACAGAAUGUGUGGCAGCAACAAAAUAGAUUGAAAGCAAAUGCAGUUCCCUUACCUUCAAAUUAUAAUUUGGAAUUAAUAAGAACAGGAAUGGAAGGGGGACAAGAAGAAGUGAGUUUGAUGAGGAAACUGAGGCAGAGAAAUGUUUGAGUGACUUUUCUAAAUGCACACAGCAAAUCAAUGGCAGAACCAGGAAAAUAACUUGGGAAUCCUGGUUCUCAGUCUCAUGCUCUAAGCACCAGGAAACACUACCCCUCUGAAUGUAAGUUAUUGUUAUUAAGAUGUGGUUUAUCUUUCAUGUGAGUCACCAUCUGUUAUAUUGCUAACUUACUAUUAGUUAUGAAAGCUAUUCAAAUUUUAAACUGUUUUGCAUUCUCACAGCUACUUAAGCCCACAGUAGACUUUUUGACAACAGUGACAGCGCUUCUCAUGUGAAAGAACUGGACAAAUAUUAACUCAUGUUUUUUCAGUAAAUUUUUGUAAUGCCAUAAACCCACAGUUUAGACUGAACUUAAACAGACCUUGAAAAAUCCAUGUAUUCGAUGCUGAUUGGUUCCAUAUCUGUCAGUUGUACUUUAGUUAAGACAUGACUGUAUAUUCUCAUAGAUAUGAUUAAGAAUAUAAAUAUCCAAAUGUUAAUUUAAUUUAAAUUGAGUCAUUGAUAACUUUAUGUGUCUUGGGCCUAACAGCUCUGUGGCUGCUAGGGUCCUUUGAACAUGUAGUUGGAAAAACGUAUUAAUCUUGGGCUGUUAGUGAUGCUUCUGGGGACCUCAGUGAACCAGGGAGAGCCAGGCAGGUUGUGGAGGCAGUCUGGAAAAGCCCUGACCAGGAGCUGGGGCAGGGACUGCAGUAGUAAAAUGAGAAAAGAUUUUUGAAAAGUAGAAGUUGCUCUGUUUUUCUCUCAGUGUACAGGUGGUCGCUAGGGGAAUACGUCCAUUUAGAUACUUGCAAUCACCAUUUUUAAAGGAGCUGUGAAGCCCAGGCUUGAGAAAGGGAGCCUCUGCAAACAGGGAGAAAUAGCCUUGUAGAUGAAGAAGGAAAAAAUUGUCCCAAACUAUCUGUUAGCAGAUGGAACAACAGAGACACUGCCAGGAAGAGUCUGAGACAGACUGGACACUGAUGCCUUUUCAUCUCUGAAGAUGGUCAACCAGGAAGGGCACUUCCAAAAUUUCUAACUAGUUACUUCUACGAGAUAAAACCUACUGAAUUUCUGAAAGCACUUUUGUUGUGCUGAGCUAGAAUAUAUCUUUCAGAAAUAGAUAAUCCUAAAGUCUUUAUGUAAUCAGGAUAUGCAGUCAUUAGGAAUGACCCCAUCUUUAAGACAAUUAUUCUGAAGAUUUUAAACUCUGUUCCACUUGUUUUGAGUCUGACUUUGACUUAACUUCAGCUAUGCCUUUGUCUGAUGUAUUAAGGAUCCCUCUACUGUCAGAAAUCUUCUCCUUAUGCUUGGAUUAAUAAACUUUGCUUGUCUGGCUAACUGGUGGUAAAUUUUUGACACACAGAAAAGAGGGAAUGGGGAGGUGAGUAAUGGAAUUUGAAGUGAGAGGUGAGGAGUUACUCGUGGCAGAAGAAGUGAAUGAAUAGAGAAGAGAUACAGUAUGAGAGAGAGUGGGUUUCAUUUUCUACUUGAAUGUAUAAGGCAGAAAUGAAAGAAAUAUGUGGCUAAAGUCAAAGGUCCAGUUAAAAGGAAGGAAAGAGAUGGGAACAAAAGUGAGAAGGUCUUGAGAAUAGACACAGAAAGUAAUGUGAAAAGAGAGGCAUUGUAAAGCUAUUAAAGACAAAAAAAAAGAAACAAAUUUAGUCUGCAGUGGUCAAUAAGAUCAAAACAAAUGGUGAAAUAUCAGAGUAUGUUAAGAAUGUAACAAAAAGUAGCAAUAAUUCACCUUGGAUUAGGGCUUCUCAAGCAGCGG